GCAACGGAUCUCUUGGCUCUCGCAUCGAUGAAGAACGCAGCGAAAUGCGAUAAGUAAUGUGAAUUGCAGAAUUCAGUGAAUCAUCGAAUCAUUGAACGCACCUUGCGCCUCUUGGUAUUCCGAGAGGCAUGCCUGUUUGAGUGUCAUUAAAUUCUCAACUUCAAAAGCUUUUGUCUUUUUGAAGCUUGGAUGGUGAAGGCUUGCUGGCGUUUUAAAUGUCUCAGCUCCUUUGAAAAGUAUUAGUGGACCCGUUUGUGUUCAUUCCUUAGUGUGAUAAUUAUCUACGCUGUGGUCUUUGAAUGCAUGCUCAUUAGAAUCUUUCGAGCUGUUGUUUUUACUACAGUCUCGGUGUGGAGAGUUGCAUGAAUUUGCUCUUUCUGUCUCUUGAGUCAGGAUUGUCUGCUUCAAACCGUCUACACAUUGUAGACAAUUUUGAACCAUUUGACCUCAAUCAGGUAGGACUACCCGCUGAACUUAAGCAUAUCAUAAGCGGAGGA
rnacentral:rRNA from 1 species